UACGGAGGAUGCAAGCGUUAUCCGGAAUGAUUGGGCGUAAAGCGUCCGCAGGUGGCUAUGUAAGUCUGCUGUUAAAGAGUGAGGCUCAACCUCAUAAGAGCAGUGGAAACUACAUGGCUAGAGUGCGUUCGGGGCAGAGGGAAUUCCUGGUGUAGCGGUGAAAUGCGUAGAGAUCAGGAAGAACACCGGUGGCGAAAGCGCUCUGCUAGGCCGCAACUGACACUCAUGGACGAAAGCUAGGGGAGCGAAAGGG
rnacentral:rRNA from 1 species